rnacentral:rRNA from 1 species
UGGGGAAUUUUGGACAAUGGGGGAAACCCUGAUCCAGCCAUCCCGCGUGUGCGAUGAAGGCCUUCGGGUUGUAAAGCACUUUUGGCAGGAAAGAAACGUCGCGGGUUAAUACCCCCGCAAACUGACGGUACCUGCAGAAUAAGCACCGGCUAACUACGUGCCAGCAGCCGCGGUAAUACGUAGGGUGCAAGCGUUAAUCGGAAUUACUGGGGCGUAAAGCGUGCGCAGGCGGUUCGGAAAAGAAAGAUGUGAAAUCCCANAGCUUAACUUUGGAACUGCAUUUUUAACUACCGGGCUAGAGUGUGUCAGAGGGAGGUGGAAUUCCGCGUGUAGCAGUGAAAUGCGUAGAUAUGCGGAGGAACACCGAUGGCGAAGGNAGCCUCCUGGGAUAACACUGACGCUCAUGCACGAAAGCGUGGGGAGCAAACAGGAUUAGAUA